UAGAGAAGACUUAGCGAGGGGCUCA
rnacentral:piRNA from 1 species